UUUUGUCCAGGGUUUUGUUCCAAGGAAACCUCAUAGUGUUUUGCUUCUCUUCCUUUUUCUGUCUGUUCUCCCUCUUUUAUAACCUGAUUUUCAUGGCUUUGUGGGCUCAAAAGAGAGAGGUCCAAGUCUGAGAUUUUUUCUUUUAUUUAUUUAAUUUUUUAAUUUUUUUUUUCUGUUUUCCGUUUUUCUUUUUUUCUUUUUUUUUUGUUUUUUUUUUGUUUUUUGCAUAACACGUGGGCUUCGCCUAGUGAGCAUGACAGCUCAUGAACAAACCUUUGCUCCUUCAAGAUUAACGUUUUGACUGACGAAUAGACCCUUGUUGGAAGUAACUCAAGUUUUUCCCUUGUGUUGACUGAUCAUCUAAAUAGAACCCACAAAGUGUCCUGGAUGAUGUUCAAGCUUCUUGGAGUUAAUCCCGAUUGACAUGAUGAAAUGCAAUGUAUCUAAUGUUAAAUUACCUAAAAAUGAAUGCGUGAAUAAGGAGGGCAAAUUUUGGGGUGUUACAGCUGCCCCUAUUCAGUCAUCAGCUAACCCGAGCAGGAUGAAAGCGAACAGCUUAUCAGACAAACAGGGUGAGCUGUGAUUGAAUACCAAAGACAUACCGAAAAUUUGCGCUCCGAGAACACCACAAAAAUGCUGAAAUACACCGCGUUGUUUAU
rnacentral:lncRNA from 1 species